GGAUAUGAUGUUUGCACAUUGCACUGUGUACAGUUUCAUGGAUAAACACGCGCGAGAGUAAUGAAACGGACUAUCCAAAUGCGGCAAAUUUAAACAUUUCCACCACGGUAAUUUUUAAGUGACAGCUCGAGAAACCAAAAUGAGUACUUGUCAAGUAAAAACCUGCAAAAAUGAUCAUCGAAAAAAAGAAUUCAGAAAUGUACAUUUUUAUCGCUUCCCAAAAGAGAAGUCGUUAAUAGUAAAGUGGAAAGAAGCGUGUGGAAAAGAAAAUGUCAACGUUAAAAAUGGACGCAUCUGUUCCGCCCAUUUUGAUGCAGUAGCAUACAAAGAGUCUUCAUGGAUGCGACCCCUUUUAGGUUAUUCACCGCCACAGAAAAGAAAAUUAAAAUUUGAUGCAAUUCCCACGCUGAAUUUAGGAUCAUCAAUCAGCGAAGGUCUUGAUGAAUCUGCAAUGACGCCAGGUACUGCGAUGAAUACAAUACUGCCUGAAGAACAGAUGGAAGUUUCGACUUCAAGACACUCAUUAAAUUCAGGUAAGCAAAUGUGGAGGGUAGGCCAAUUCCUGUAAGAAUGUCUACAUUCAGCAGAGAAAACUAAUCAGCGAGCGCUCAAUGAUUCUUUAAUAAGACUGAUUCUUGUCUUUAGUUCUUCACUGAAUCUAAGUGUAGGAACCAAUCAUAUUGAAAAAUCACUAAUCAGUUUUCUCUGCUAAAUGCAGCUAAAGUCGGUCUUUAAAAAUAUCUCAUGUGUUCCUGUACAUAGAACGUGACAAUGGCCGCGUUUAGCAAAACGUUUAUUUUACAACUGUUGGAAGUUUUCUUCGCCCUGAUUGGAUUAUACAUCAGUGACAGGCCUUAGGGAUUUCAAGCAACACAAACAAAUUCCAAGAAAGCAAAAACAA